rnacentral:rRNA from 1 species
GAUGAACGCUGGCGGCGUGCUUAACACAUGCAAGUCGAGCGAGUGAGUUCUUCGGAACGAUCUAGCGGCGGACGGGUGCGUAACACGUGGGCAACCUGCCACAUAGCGGGGGAUAGCAUCCUGAAAGGGAGAUUAAUACCGCACAAAAUUAUCGAGUGGCAUCACAUGACCAUCAAAGGAGUAAUCCGCUAUGAGAUGGGCCCGCGUCGCAUUAGCUAGUUGGUGAGGUAACGGCUCACCAAGGCGACGAUGCGUAGCCGACCUGAGAGGGUGAUCGGCCACAUUGGGACUGAGACACGGCCCAGACUCCUACGGGAGGCAGCAGUGGGGAAUAUUGCACAAUGGGGGAAACCCUGAUGCAGCAACGCCGCGUGAGUGAUGAAGGUCUUCGGAUUGUAAAGCUCUGUCUUUGGGGACGAUAAUGACGGUACCCAAGGAGGAAGCCACGGCUAACUACGUGCCAGCCGCCGCAGUAA